GCGACGACGGGUAGCCGGCCUGAGAGGGCGACCGGCCACACUGGGACUGAGACACGGCCCAGACUCCUACGGGAGGCAGCAGUGGGGAAUAUUGCACAAUGGGCGGAAGCCUGAUGCAGCGACGCCGCGUGAGGGAUGACGGCCUUCGGGUUGUAAACCUCUUUCAGCAGGGAAGAAGCGAAAGUGACGGUACCUGCAGAAGAAGCGCCGGCUAACUACGUGCCAGCAGCCGCGGUAAUACGUAGGGCGCAAGCGUUGUCCGGAAUUAUUGGGCGUAAAGAGCUCGUAGGCGGCUUGUCGCGUCGGUUGUGAAAGCCCGGGGCUUAACCCCGGGUCUGCAGUCGAUACGGGCAGGCUAGAGUUCGGUAGGGGAGAUCGGAAUUCCUGGUGUAGCGGUGAAAUGCGCAGAUAUCAGGAGGAACACCGGUGGCGAAGGCGGAUCUCUGGGCCGAUACUGACGCUGAGGAGCGAAAGCGUGGGGAGCGAACAGGAUUAGAUACCCUGGUAGUCCACGCCGUAAACGGUGGGCACUAGGUGUGGGCAACAUUCCACGUUGUCCGUGCCGCAGCUAACGCAUUAAGUGCCCCGCCG
rnacentral:rRNA from 1 species